rnacentral:lncRNA from 10 species
GUAAAUGCCUGAUGUUUUACUGUCUUAGGUCAGCACAGAUAUGAGGAACAUUGCCUAUAGUUUCAAUGUAAUAAUAACAUAUAUUAACACUUCAUUAAGCUUGCUUCAGAUGAAAUAGAUUGCUUAGAGGUGACUGCUAAUAUGAACACCCCAUGACAAGGCAGUGUAAUGAACUGUGACCAACUCUUGUGUAUUUGUUAGCUCUAGACGCUCUAGUUGUCUGACACCAAAUGCGGUGGCAGGGAAACCACACAGCUUUUACCCAUGCUUACUUUCUUAAUGAAUCUGAUUUUGGAACUGCUAAGAGUGAAGGGGAAUAUCUGUUACCCCAGAGACAGCCCAACACACUACAUCUCAAGGAUCUUCAACUGGAUUUUAAGUAAAGAAGAGGAUUCACCAUGUUGCUCAAGCUGGUCUCGAAGUCCUGAGCUCAGGCAAUCUGCCCACCUUGGCCUCCCAAAGUGCUAGGAUUACAGGUGUGAUCCACCGCACCCAACCCUGAAAUGUUUUAUCAUGAUUUCUAGCUUCCUUGCAUUGGCUUACAAUGUGUUCCUUCAGCUCAGUGACUUCCGUUUUUAUCCAUAUUCUGAAUUCUUCUUUUGUCAUUUCAGCCAUCUCAGCCUCAGCUCUGUUUGGAACCCUUGCUGGAAAGAUGAUGCAGUCAUUUAGAGGAAAGAGGGCACUCUGGCUUUUUGAGUUUAGCAUUCUUGUGCUGAUUCUUUCUUAUCUUUGUGGACUUAUCUACCUCCAGUCUUUGAGAUUGCUGACCUUUGGAUGGGUGGAUGGGUUUUUUCUUUUCUUCUUUUAACAGUCUGGCUACUUUUCUAUAGGGCUGCUGUGGGGUUUGCUGGAGUCUGCUCCAGUCCCUAGUAACCUUGGAUUUUCCAGUAGCUGGAGGUAUCACCAGUGAAGGCUAUGAGACAGUAAAGAUGGCAGCCUGCCCCUUCCUUUGGGAGUUCCACCCCAGGGAGGUAUGGACAUGUUGCUGGCCCAAAUGCACCUGUAGGAGGUGACUAGAGACCCCAGUUAGGAGGUCUCACCCAGUAAGGAGGAAUGGGAUUGGAGACCUGCUUAAAGAAGCAGUCUGGCCAUGCUUUUGUAGAGUGGCUCUGCUGUGCUCGAGUACUGCUUCCACCUCUGAUGGGCUUGGGCUCUCCAAAGCCUGGAGGUGGAAUGGCUAAGUCACCCAAACAGCUAAGAGGGCGGCCCACCCCUUCCUCUGGGAGCUCUGUA